ensembl:snRNA U6 U6 spliceosomal RNA
CUCAUUUCAGCAGCACAUAUACUAAAACUGAAACAAUACAGGGACAAUUAGCAUGGGCCCUGUGCAAAGAUAACAUUGCCUUUGAGAUCUGUUCCAGUCUUCU